GGAAUAUAAGAAUUUGACUCUUAACUUUUAACUAAAAAAACUAAGAACCGACUCUUAAAUAAAAGAGACAUGUUCUUAUAUUCCGCUAAGAACUUCAUCCUAAUAAAUGAUUCUUAGCUUUUUUAGUUAAAAAUUAAAAGACAGAUUCUUAUAUUCC
rfam:Brassica oleracea var. oleracea cultivar TO1000 chromosome C3, whole genome shotgun sequence